AUGAUUCAUUCAUCUCCUCUCCAUUGCAAGCCCCAAAUUCCUCGAGCGAGUCCCUCCAAAUUCAUUGCAUUCUCCCUUUAAAGCCAACUCGCUCUUUUGCCCUCCUUUUUUCUUCGGUUGCUCGAAGGAAAGUUCCCGAUCGAUCGAUCGCUCCUUCGUUCUCCCAUUUGAAGCGAAGAGUCGCAAGUGUUUGCUUCUAGGUUUUCCCCACUUCUUUUUGCUUGUAGUAGCAAUCCUUCGGGGGAGGAAGGCUGCUUCGGUUGAUGCGCUCCGACAAUGUUUUGUUGUCUGCUAAUUUGGUGAAAUAUCGAAAGAAAUUGCAGGUUUUAUCUCCGCGUACGUGCAUAUUUCGGGUUUGCAGAAUUAGUGGCAUGUGUACUGCUUAAUUUUCUUUAAAAAUUGCUCCUUUGUGCAAGAAAUUACCAUGACAAUUGAUUUGCCUAUCAUGUCUUGAUUAGGUCGUAUGAGUAGAUACCUUUAUGCUUCACUUUUAUGAAUUUUGUUUUGUUUUGAGUUAACAUAGGGCUGAGGUACAACUUGAAGUUUGUUCUUUUAAUCUGCUAAAAUCAGAGGCUUUUCACUUGGCUCCCAUUUUGGAGCCAUCACGAAAAAAUGAAUCAUAAAUCUUCUGGCUAUUGCAAUAUCAAACAAAUUACAUUGGACACUGAAGCAUCCGUUGAUGCUGAAGCUUUGGAUGUUGUCUAUGCCAAGAAUGAAUUAAAUCAAGCUCUCAUAGAGUGGCAUCCUACUGAAACUUCUGUUGAUGAAGUUUAGAAGGAUCAGAAUGUUGCCAAGGAAGAUUUUUUAUGACAAUAAACCACCAAUUGAUUGGAGCUGUUUAUCCCUGAACACAUGAUGAUAAUGAUUGCUGACUAUCAUGGGAGCAACCAUGGGGGAGUAGUAGACCAAUAUUCUGGUCUGAAUAUACUGCUUGUUAGCAGGGAUCCUUUUGGCAAAGAAUAGCAAGUUACCAGGAUGACAUUAUAUCAGCAACUGGUUUUGGUCAGAAGGAGGUCAAUCAUUGUUUUCCUUUCCUUUUUGCAUGAAAAUUUUCUUGUGGAAGUCGUUGAUACAACUAAAAUAGGAAAAAUCUGCAUUAGAAAAUGCUCGAGGAGGCUUUUGGCAUGGGAAACAGUCUUAAUUUUUUUUUUUUUUCUCGGAAGUGUAUAUGUAUUGCUAUGAAAUAAUAUAAGAAUUGGAUCACAAUAAACGACUAUAUUCUUGUGUUUGGUUUAGUGUUUAGAUGAUUGAUGUAUUUUUAACUCGAAAAGUAUCACUCUUGCAGUUGGGAAGAAAAAAAACUUGCUUUACAGUCGAGCAGUAAUAUUUAUCUAAUUCUAACUUGUCCAAGCUUCCAAGUGGAGUGUUUGAACAUUGUUUAUUUUUUAUGGACAGUGUUUUCUUCAAGCAAUUGACUUGCAUUUUAGGUGAUAUGAUAACUUUAUAAUUGUUGCUCGGUUUUCAUUUAUACUAAACUCUUGUGAUAAUUAAACGUAUGCUUAUUAGGAUUUGUGCAUAUGUGAGAUGAGGUUGUUUUCAUCUAAAAUUUCAUCUAUAUUCAUAACUUCUUCUUUUUUUUUUUUUUGACAAAAGAGUAAACGAUGAAGGCGAGAUUCGAGCUUAGGACUUUGUCAUAGGUUUGUCAAAGUCUGUACCGGCUAAACUAGUUAACACAUUCAAAAUAUCAUUUGAGAUUUAAAUAUAUCGAAUGAGAUUUCAAACCCUCAAUCUUUGAUAAGAGAUUUGGUACGUCAUUACCAGACUAAUGUUUUAGAUAUAAUCUUUUGUGAUCCUUUUCAUGAGCAUUAGGAUUAAGAAGUAGUCGACAAUUCAUUUGAUUAACCAGUGUAGAUUAAGAAAGGGUACAUGCUCCAAAGGAAUGAAGUUUAGCCAAUGUUGGAGGGAGGGUGAAUCACUUUUACAAAUGAAUUGUCCUUUGAAACCCAGUUCAGUUGGAGUACCUUCCUCAAAAGUAGCAUGACAAGUAUCAUCUGUUCUUCUUGGGCACUCUGCAGCUAUAGGAGCCAGUUCAAGGGGCCCUUCCUCCCCCUGUUCAUAGGUUCUCUGGAAACUGUGAUGUUCCCAGCCAUGUGGUCAGUGAUUCUGUGUAUCAAUUCACUUGGCCCACAAUUAGCUACCUCCACUCAGCCCUCCACACUGCAUCGCACUGUCUGCAAAUCGCAUUAUCGCCAAUUUGUCAUCUAUAUUUAUGAAAGCUCAGGGGAACAAGAAAAUGUUGUGGAGUCCAUUUCCUUUUCACUCCUUGAUAGGCCUAUUUUCCCAUGCAUCCUUUGAUACCCACAGUCAUGCUCUCCCCCUUCCUCUCCUUCCACACCUUGGGAGUUAUUUCCACCUUCCAAGCCCGAGAUGAAAGCCAUGAAGAGCUUCUCUCUUUUGCGAGUUACCUUUUUCUUACUAUUGGCUUCUGAACUUGCGCUCUCUAAGGAGCAUGAAGCUCCUCUUGUCCAAGUUUGCAAGCGCCAGCAUCAGCAUGAACAGAGUCCUUCUACCUCCUUGCUGCACCGCAUGCCGUCAUGGUGCUUCCAGCCUUCAAGGAGUCCAUUGCAAAGAAGUCAUCCUGCCAAAGAUAUCGACUCAAGGUAUGGUCUCGGGAAGCAGCUGAUACGAGUGGGCCUAACCCUCUCCACAACUGAAGAGCCGAUGUAUGUCUCUUCAUCAUCUCGUGUGGCUCUUUUCAUCUUCCUUGGAGAAAAUAGUCGAAGGCAUCUGUUUGUAAUAAUGGUGUAAAAUGGAAGAAGAUGUCUAUUUCAUGGCAACGACUCUGCUAAUUGUUGUGUAGUGCUCGACUGUGGUACACUCUAUCUUCCUCGUCUUUCCUGUAAGCAUUGUUGCUAUCCUUUGAGAUCAUAUAAAGCUCAUUGGUGCAUCAUUCACUGGGAGAUGUAAUGUAACAGGAACUUAUUGCACAACCUUUUUGGGUUGUUGCCCUCA